GUGCCCGUAGCUCAGUCGGAUAGAGCACAAGUUUCCUAAACUUGGGGCCGUGGGUUCGAAUCCCGCCGGGCACACCA
rnacentral:tRNA from 1 species